CACAAACAGUGCUGCACCUCUUGAGCUGGGGAUUGGGGAUGGAGCCUUGCUCAAAGACACCCUUACAUCGAACGCCAAGCACAGCACCUUCAACAACGUGUUGCCAUUUUUACAUUUUUACUUGUAACGGGAUUCAAACCAUGGCCAUCCAAAGCCCAAUACCCCGGAGGAUGUUUUAGGAAGUUGUGUGUCCAAUUCCCAAUCAAUCAUCCGUAGGAAGGAGACGUAGGCACAUUCCCUACUAAUGACUGUGUCAUUUGGCUGCAUUUGGUGUCAGUUGUUUAACAUUUUCCAGCUCUUACCACAUAACAAACUAGCGCGGUUUGUGAUAUUCUUUAAUACUGCAACCGCAAGUGUGAAAACUGAGGGUGUCAAGCAAAGGUGUUAUUUUUUUCCUGUGACAGUGUGAGUCAUUCUCUUUAGCAUUUUAACACUAUGCACCCUGUCUGUGGAAGCAGGAUCAGUCAGCUCUUAGCAAGAGAUCAUCAUUUGUAGCACCUGCAUUUGUAGUAAUGCACUAAAUUUAUUAUUGUGGGGUUUUUUUGUUUUGUUUUUUUUACUUAGAACGCCUGAGGAAACUAAUAGAUUGUACAUCCAAAGAUGACAGAUCUGGCGUACCACUCAGUAGCAACUGGUGGUUGCCAGGGACGGUCCAGUCAUCGACUUGACGUCACAACUUUCCUUACAUGGUGCUGUUAUAAUUAACUAGGGGCCUGAUUUUGGCAAAUUCAAGAUUGGACACACGCACACACGCA